rnacentral:rRNA from 1 species
AAAAAAGGUAAGCUACUAAGAGCGAAUGGUGGAUGCCUUGACUGGUAAAGGCGAUGAAGGACGUACUAGACUGCGAUAAGCUACGGGGAGCUGUCAAGAAGCUUUGAUCCGUAGAUUUCCGAAUGGGGCAACCCAAUGUAUAGAGAUAUACAUUACCUAUAUAGGAGCGAACGAGGGGAAUUGAAACAUCUUAGUACCCUCAGGAAAAGAAAUCAAUAGAGAUUGCGUCAGUAGCGGCGAGCGAAAGCGCAAGAGGGCAAACCCAGUGCUUGCACUGGGGGUUGUAGGACUGCAAUGUGCAAGAGGUAAGUUUAGCAGAACAUUCUGGAAAGUAUAGCCAUAGAGGGUGAUAGUCCCGUAUGCGAAAAACAAACCUUAGCUAGCAGUAUCCUGAGUAGGGCGGGACACGAGGAAUCCUGUCUGAAUCCGGGUCGACCACGAUCCAACCCUAAAUACUAAUACCAGAUCGAUAGUGCACAAGUACCGUGAGGGAAAGGUGAAAAGAACUGAGGUGAUCAGAGUGAAAUAGAACCUGAAACCAUUUGCUUACAAUCAUUCAGAGCCCUAUGUAGCAAUACAGGGUGAUGGACUGCCUUUUGCAUAAUGAGCCUGCGAGUUGUGGUGUCUGGCAAGGUUAAGCAAACGCGAAGCCGUAGCGAAAGCGAGUCUGAAUAGGGCGCUUAGUCAGAUGCUGCAGACCCGAAACGAAGUGAUCUAUCCAUGAGCAAGUUGAAGCUAGUGUAAGAACUAGUGGAGGACUGAACCCAUAGGCGUUGAAAAGCCCCGGGAUGACUUGUGGAUAGGGGUGAAAGGCCAAUCAAACUUCGUGAUAGCUGGUUCUCUCCGAAAUAUAUUUAGGUAUAGCGUUGUGUCGUAAUAUAAGGGGGUAGAGCACUGAAUGGGCUAGGGCAUACACCAAUGUACCAAACCCUAUCAAACUCCGAAUACCUUAUAUGUAAUCACAGCAGUCAGGCGGCGAGUGAUAAAAUCCGUCGUCAAGAGGGAAACAACCCAGACUACCAGCUAAGGUCCCUAAGUCUUACUUAAGUGGAAAACGAUGUGAAGUUACUUAAACAACCAGGAGGUUGGCUUAGAAGCAGCCAUCCUUUAAAGAAAGCGUAAUAGCUCACUGGUCUAGUGAUUUUGCGCGGAAAAUAUAACGGGGCUAAAGUAAGUACCGAAGCUGUAGACUUGCGCACAACUUAGAUUAUUUAAGUUUAGAAUAUGAGAAACUAAGUUAUGUUUAGUUAUAUUUUUACUGAUUUUUAUAGAGUAAAGAUAGAAAUAAAACUUAGUAAAAUCAGUAAAAAUAUUCUUAGGCUAAAGUUAAGUAGUUUAAGUUGUGUGCAAGUGGUAGGAGAGCGUUCUAUUUGCGUCGAAGGUAUACCGGUAAGGAGUGCUGGAGCGAAUAGAAGUGAGCAUGCAGGCAUGAGUAGCGAUAAUUAAUGUGAGAAUCAUUAACGCCGUAAACCCAAGGUUUCCUACGCGAUGCUCGUCAUCGUAGGGUUAGUCGGGUCCUAAGUCGAGUCCGAAAGGGGUAGACGAUGGCAAAUUGGUUAAUAUUCCAAUACCAACAUUAGUGUGCGAUGGAAGGACGCUUAGGGCUAAGGGGGCUAGCGGAUGGAAGUGCUAGUCUAAGGUCGUAGGAGGUUAUACAGGCAAAUCCGUAUAACAAUACUCCGAGAACUGAAAGGCUUUUUGAAGUCUUCGGAUGGAUAGAAGAACCCCUGAUGCCGUCGAGCCAAGAAAAGUUUCUAAGUUUAGCUAAUGUUGCCCGUACCGUAAACCGACACAGGUGGGUGGGAUGAGUAUUCUAAGGCGCGUGGAAGAACUCUCUUUAAGGAACUCUGCAAAAUAGCACCGUAUCUUC